ACGAACGCUUGCGGCGUGCUUCACACAUGCAAGUCGAACGGAAAGGCCCUGCUUUUGUGGGGUGCUCGAGUGGCGAACGGGUGAGUAACACGUGAGUAACCUGCCCUUGACUUUGGGAUAACUUCAGGAAACUGGGGCUAAUACCGGAUAGGAGCUCCUGCUGCAUGGUGGGGGUUGGAAAGUUUCGGCGGUUGGGGAUGGACUCGCGGCUUAUCAGCUUGUUGGUGGGGUAGUGGCUUACCAAGGCUUUGACGGGUAGCCGGCCUGAGAGGGUGACCGGCCACAUUGGGACUGAGAUACGGCCCAGACUCCUACGGGAGGCAGCAGUGGGGAAUAUUGCACAAUGGGCGGAAGCCUGAUGCAGCAACGCCGCGUGCGGGAUGACGGCCUUCGGGUUGUAAACCGCUUUCGCCUGUGACGAAGCGUGAGUGACGGUAAUGGGUAAAGAAGCACCGGCUAACUACGUG
rnacentral:rRNA from 1 species